GACGAACGCUGGCGGCGUGCUUAACACAUGCAAGUCGAACGGAAAGGCUCCAGCUUGCUGGAGUACUCGAGUGGCGAACGGGUGAGUAACACGUUGGUAAUCUGCCCUGCACUCUGGGAUAAGCCUGGGAAACUGGGUCUAAUACUGGAUAUGACCUUUCUCCUUAUGGGGUUUGGUGGAAAGUUUUUCGGUGUAGGAUGAGCCCGCGGCCUAUCAGCUUGUUGGUGGGGUGAUGGCCUACCAAGGCGACGACGGGUAGCCGGCCUGAGAGGGUGAUCGGCCACAUUGGGACUGAGAUACGGCCCAGACUCCUACGGGAGGCAGCAGUGGGGAAUAUUGCACAAUGGGCGGAAGCCUGAUGCAGCGACGCCGCGUGAGGGAUGACGGCCUUCGGGUUGUAAACCUCUUUCAGCAGGGACGAAGCGUAAGUGACGGUACCUGCAGAAGAAGCACCGGCUAACUACGUG
rnacentral:rRNA from 1 species